AUUGAACGCUGGCGGCAGGCCUAACACAUGCAAGUCGAGCGGUAACAGGAGAAAGCUUGCUUUCUUGCUGACGAGCGGCGGACGGGUGAGUAAUGUAUGGGGAUCUGCCCGAUAGAGGGGGAUAACUACUGGAAACGGUGGCUAAUACCGCAUAAUGUCUACGGACCAAAGCAGGGGCUCUUCGGACCUUGCACUAUCGGAUGAACCCAUAUGGGAUUAGCUAGUAGGUGGGGUAAAGGCUCACCUAGGCGACGAUCUCUAGCUGGUCUGAGAGGAUGAUCAGCCACACUGGGACUGAGACACGGCCCAGACUCCUACGGGAGGCAGCAGUGGGGAAUAUUGCACAAUGGGCGCAAGCCUGAUGCAGCCAUGCCGCGUGUAUGAAGAAGGCCUUAGGGUUGUAAAGUACUUUCAGCGGGGAGGAAGGUGAUAAGGUUAAUACCC
rnacentral:rRNA from 1 species